GAUGAACGCUGGCGGCGUGCCUAAUACAUGCAAGUCGAGCGAACAGACGAUGAGCUUGCUCCUCUGACGUUAGCGGCGCACGGGUGUGUAACACGUGGAUAACCUACCUAUAAUACUGGUAUAACUUCGGGAAACCGGAGCUAAUACCGGAUAAUAUCUUGCACCGCAUGGUUCAAUAGUGAAAGACGGCUUUGCUGUCACUUAUAGCUGGAUCCCCGCCGCAUUAGCUGGUUGGUAAGGUAACGGGUUACCAAGGGGACGAUGCGUAAACGACGUGACAGGGGGAUAGGCCACACGGGAACGGAGACACGGUCCAGACGCCUAAGGGAGGCAGCAGUAGGGAAUCGGCGGCAAUGGGGGGGAAUAUUACGCAACAACGGCGAGUGAGAUGUGAAAGCCUUGGGAGCGUAAUACUCUGUUAUUAGGGAAAAACAAAUUUGUAAGUAACUAUGCACGGCUUGACGGUAACGGGUCAGGAAGCCACGGCUAACUACGUG
rnacentral:rRNA from 1 species